AGAGUUUGAUCAUGGCUCAGGAUGAACGCUAGCUACAGGCUUAACACAUGCAAGUCGAGGGGCAGCAUGGUCUUAGCUUGCUAAGACCGAUGGCGACCGGCGCACGGGUGAGUAACGCGUAUCCAACCUGCCUUACACUCUUGGACAGCCUUCUGAAAGGGAGAUUAAUACAAGAUGUUAUCAUGAGUAAGCAUUUUCACAUGAUUAAAGGUUUACCGGUGUAAGAUGGGGAUGCGUUCCAUUAGAUAGUAGGCGGGUAACGCCACUAAUCUUCGAUGGAUAGGGUCUGAGAGGAAGUCCCCCANAUUGGAACUGAGACACGGUCCAAACUCCUACGGGAGGCA
rnacentral:rRNA from 1 species